ACGAACGCUGGCGGCAUGCCCUAAUACAUGCAAGUCGAACGAAGGCUUCGGCCUUAGUGGCGCACGGUGUGCGUAACGCGUGGGAAUCUGCCCUUGGGUUCGGAAUAACAGUUGGAAACGACUGCUAAUACCGGAUGAUGACGUAAGUCCAAAGAUUGUAUCGCCCAAGGAUGAGCCCGCGUAGGAUUAGGUAGUUGGUGAGGUAAAGGCUCACCAAGCCUACGAUCCUUAGCUGGUCUGAGAGGAUGAUCAGCCACACUGGGACUGAGACACGGCCCAGACUCCUACGGGAGGCAGCAGUAGGGAAUAUGGACAAUGGGGGCAACCCUGAUCCAGCAUGCCGCGUGAGCGAUGAGGCCUUAGGGUUGUAAAGCUCUUUUACCCGGGAUGAUAAUGACAGUACCGGAGAAUAAGCCCCGGCUAACUCGUGCCAGCAGCCGCGGUAAUACGGUAGGGGGCUAGCGUUGUUCGGAAUUACUGGCGUAAAGCGCACGUAGGCGGCUGUUUCAAGUCAGAGGUGAAAGCCCGGAGCUCAACUUCGGAACUGCCUUGAAUACUAGACAGCUUGAAUCACGGAGAGGUGGGUGGAAUUCCGAGCGUAGAGGUGAAAUUCGUAGAUAUUCGAAGAACACCAGUGGCGAAGGCGGCCCACUGGACGUGUAUUGACGCUGAGGUGCGAAAGCGUGGGAGCAAACAGGAUUAGAUACCCUGGUAGUCCACGCCGUAAACGAUGAUAACUAGCUGUCCGAGGUGCAAUGGCACUUGGGUGGCGCAGCCUAACGCAUUAAGUUAUCCGCCUGGGAGUACGGUCGCAAGAUUAAAACUCAAAGGAAUUGACGGGGGCCUGCACAAGUGGUGGAGCAUGUGGUUUAAUUCGAAGCAACGCGCAGAACCUUACCAACGUUUGACAUCCUCAUCGCGAUUUCCAGAGAUGGAUUUCUUCAGUUCGGCUGGAUGAGUGACAGGUGCUGCAUGGCUGUCGUCAGCUCGUGUCGUGAGAUGUUGGGUUAAGUCCCGCAACGAGCGCAACCCUCGCCUUUAGUUGCCAGCAUUUAGUUGGGUACUCUAAAGGAACCGCCGGUGAUAAGCCGGAGGAAGGUGGGGAUGACGUCAAGUCCUCAUGGCCCUUACGCGUUGGGCUACACACGUGCUACAAUGGCGACUACAGUGGGCAGCGAACUCGCGAGGGUGAGCUAAUCUCCAAAAGUCGUCUCAGUUCGGAUUGUUCUCUGCAACUCGAGAGCAUGAAGGCGAAUCGCUAGUAAUCGCGGAUCAGCAUGCCGCGGUGAAUACGUUCCCAGGCCUUGUACACACCGCCCGUCACACCAUGGGAGUUGGUUUCACCCGAAGGCAGUGCGCUAACCGCAAGGAGGCAGCUGACCACGGUGGGAUCAGCGACUGGGGUG
rnacentral:rRNA from 1 species